ensembl:misc_RNA Metazoa_SRP Metazoan signal recognition particle RNA
GCCGGGCAUGGUGGUGGGUGCCUGUAAUCCCAGCUACUUGGGAGGCUGAGGCAGGAGAAUUGCUUGAACCUGGGAGGCUGAGGUUGCAGUGAGCCAAGAUCAUGCCACUGCACUCCAGCUUGGGUGACAGAGCGAGACUCUGUCUCAC